rnacentral:lncRNA from 1 species
CGCCUUUAGGGGGCGGGGCCGGGGCGGGGCCGGUGGCCACGGGGGCGACGUCACUGGCCACGGAGGGGGCGGGGGUGGCCCCAGUAGCUCCAGAGUUGAUACUGGGGACACUGGUGGCCACUUUGGGGACGGUGGUGGCCACAUCGGAGACGGUGGUGGCCACUUUGGGGUCGUUGGUGGCCACUUUGGGGACGUUGGUGGCCACAUCAGAGACGUUGGUGGCCACGGGGGUGGCUCCAGAGUUGAUACUGGUCAUACUGGUGGCCACAGCAGAGACGUUGGUGGCCACUUUGGGGACGUUGGUGGCCACAUCAGAGACGUUGGUGGCCACGGGGGUGACGUUGGUGGCCCCCGGGGUGACGUUGGUGGCCCCCGGGGUGCCAGCGACAGCGGUGGCCUUGGGGGUGACAUUAGUGGCCACGGGGGCGCCGCUGGUGGCCACGGGGGCGCCGCCGUCCACGGUGGCCUUGGGGGUGACGUUAGUAGCCACAGGGGUGACGUUAGUAGCCCGGGGGGCGCCGCCGGUAGCCACAGCGACCUUGGUGGCCCCCGGGGUGGCCGGGGGGGCCUUGGUGAGGUUGGUGGCCACAGGGGAGGGGCNNNNNNNNNNNNNNNNNNNNNNNNNNNNNNNNNNNNNNNNNNNNNNNGAUGUGACGGGGGAGGGCGGGGCCGGCGGCUUCGAGGGCGUGGCUGCGGGUGAUGACGUCACCGAUGAUGUCAUCGAUGAGGUUGACGUCACGGAUGAUGUCAGGGAUGACGUCACGGAUGGUGACGUCCCGGGUGAUGUCACCGAUGAUGUCACCGCCGGCCCCGAUGAGGUCACCGAGGGCUUUGACGUCACUGAUGACGUCAUCGGCGGCCCCGCUGAGGUCUUUGACGCCGCUGCUGAUGUCAUCAAUGACGUCACUGACGGCCCUGCUGAGGUCACUGCGGGCUUUGACGUCGCUGCUGAUGUCAUCGCCGGCCCCGAUGAGGUCACCGCCGCCUUGGACGCUGCUGCUGAUGUCAUCGAUGACGUCACCGCCGCCCCUGGUGAUGUCACUGCUGCCUUCGACGCCGCUGAUGUCACCGCCGGCCCUGGUGACGUCACCGAGGGCUUCGACGUCACCGAUGAUGUCACUGAUGACCCCGCUGAGGUCACCGCGGCCUUGGACGGCGCCGAUGACGUCGUAGACGGCGCCGAUGACGUCACUGGCGUCUUCGAUGACGUCACGGGCGACGCCCCCGCGGGCCCUGAUGAUGUCACCGCCGUCGACGCCUUCGGUGACGUCACGGGGGGCGCUGACGUCAUCGUCGACGUCAUCGUUGACGUUGUCGUCGCCGUCGUUGUUGAUGAUGUCAUCGGGGGGGUCGAUGAUGUCAUCGGGGAGGCGGAUGAUGUCAUCGGGGGGGUCGCUGACGUCACGGCCUUGCCGUCGGGCCCCGCCCCCGCCCCGGUAGCCCCCCUGGGGGGGUCGGUCGCCCCCUGGUUUCCGGUUCCCCCCCCCUCGGUGCCGGGCGGGGCGGG